rnacentral:rRNA from 1 species
UACGUAGGGUGCAAGCGUUGUCCGGAAUUAUUGGGCGUAAAGAGCUCGUAGGCGGUCUGUCGCGUCUGCUGUGAAAACUCAGGGCUUAACCCUGAGCUUGCAGUGGGUACGGGCAGACUAGAGUGGCGGUAGGGGAGACUGGAAUUCCGUGGUGAUAGCGGUGAAAUGCGCAGAUAGUCAAGGAGGAACACCGGUGGGCGAAGGCGGGUCUCUGGGCCGUAACUGACGCUGGAGGAGCGAAAGC